AGGCGGUAUCGUUUAUCGAACUGUACUCUUGAACGGAAGAACUUUUUUAUAUUUUUAUUAUUGGAAAUACCUUCAUAACUGCGUUUGACGGUUACGUUGGAUUCUGCUCUGAGCCGUAAGGACCGAGACAGAAGG
rnacentral:ncRNA from 1 species